AAUGAACGCUGGCGGCGCGCCUAAUACAUGCAAGUCGAGCGAGAAGACGUAGCAAUACGUUUGUAAAGCGGCGAACGGGUGAGGAAUACAUGGGUAACCUACCCUCGAGUGGGGAAUAACUAGCCGAAAGGUUAGCUAAUACCGCGUACGCUCCUUGGACUUCGGUUCAGGGAGGAAAGCGAUACCGUGGGUAUCGCGCUCUUGGUUGGGCUCAUGUCCUAUCAGCUUGUUGGUGAGGAACGGCUCACCAAGGCUUCGACGGGUAGCUGGUCUGAGAGGACGACCAGCCACACUGGGACUGAGACACGGCCCAGACUCCUACGGGAGGCAGCAGUGGGGAAUAUUGGACAAUGGGCGCAAGCCUGAUCCAGCGAUGCCGCGUGUGUGAAGAAGGCCUGCGGGUUGUAAAGCACUUUCAGUAGGGAAGAAAAGCCGAGUGCUAAUAUCACUCGGUCUUG
rnacentral:rRNA from 1 species